rnacentral:rRNA from 1 species
GUAGGGAAUAUUGGGCAAUGGAGGCAACUCUGACCCAGCCAUGCCGCGUGCAGGAAGACGGUCCUCUGGAUUGUAAACUGCUUUUGAAUGGGAAGAAACGUAGCUUUGCGAAGCUAUUUGACGGUACUAUUAGAAUAAGCACCGGCUAACUCCGUGCCAGCAGCCGCGGUAAUACGGAGGGUGCAAGCGUUAUCCGUAUUUAUUGGGUUUAAAGGGUGCGUAGGCGGCUUUAUAAGUCUGGGGUUAAAGGCGGCAGCUUAACUGUACGCAUGCCCUGGGAACUGUGAAGCUUGAGUGACUUGGAGGUAGCUAGAAUUCCCUGUGUAGCGGUGAAAUGCAUAGAUACGGGGAGGAAUACCGAUUGCGAAGGCAUGUUACUACGAGUAAACUGACGCUGAUGCACGAAAGCGUGGGGAUCAAACAGGAUUAGAUACCCUAGUAGUCC